rnacentral:rRNA from 1 species
AGCAGCCGCGGUAAUUCCAGCUCCAAUAGCGUAUAUUAAAGUUGUUGCAGUUAAAAAGCUCGUAGUUGAAUUUCGGGGUUCAUACGUUGGUCGGGCUUUUUUGGUCUGUACUUAUGUAAUGGAUUCCUACCUUCUGAAUAACCGGCAUGCCAUUAAUUUGGUGCGCCGGGGAAGCAGGACUGUUACCUUGAAAAAAUUAGAGUGCUUAAAGCAGGCUAUCGCCUGAAUACAUUAGCAUGGAAUAAUGAAAUAGGACGGCAUGGUUCUAUUUUGUUGGUUUCUAGGAUCACCGUAAUGAUUAAUAGGGAUAGUUGGGGGCAUUAGUAUUCAAUUGUCAGAGGUGAAAUUCUUGGAUUUAUUGAAGACUAACUUCUGCGAAAGCAUUUGCCAAGGAUGUUUUCAUUAAUCAAGAACGAAAGUUAGGGGAUCGAAGACGAUCAGAUACCGUCGUAGUCUUAACCAUAAACUAUGCCGACUAGGGAUCGGACGAUGUUAAUUUUUUAAUGACUCG